UGAACGCUGGCGGCGUGCUUAACACAUGCAAGUCGAACGAGAACGGUCCUAGCUUGCUAGGAUGUCAGCUAAGUGGCGCACGGGUGAGUAAUAUAUAGGUAAUCUGCCCCGAAGAGCGGGAUAACGUCUGGAAACGGACGCUAAUACUGCAUACUCCUUCUUGACAUAAGUUGAGAAGGGAAAUGAACUUCGCUUCGGGAUGAGCCUUUAUCGCAUCAGCUAGUUGGUAAGGUAACGGCUUACCAAGGCUAUGACGCGUAGCUGAUCUGAGAGGAUGAUCAGCCACACUGGUACUGAGACACGGACCAGACUCCUACGGGAGGCAGCAGUGGGGAAUAUUGCACAAUGGACGAAAGUCUGAUGCAGCAACGCCGCGUGGAGGAUGACACAUUUCGGUGCGUAAACUCCUUUUAUAGGUCAAGAUAAUGACGGUAGCCUAUGAAUAAGCACCGGCUAACUCC
rnacentral:rRNA from 1 species